GCAGAGAAGCAUCUCUUUCUAAAAUGGAUGUCACUUCCUGUGUCCCCUUCAGUCACUUUCUAAACCACUCAGUGCUCCUUUCCCCUUUCCCAAUGCCAGGCUCAGAAGGUGUGGUGUUUUAGGAAGACUCUUCCCUGGGCCUCUGAGCAAAUCUGAGAAGAGAUUCUUGAAUGUGCCCCAGGUAACAAGCUCCAAAGAAAAUGCCCAGGAGUUCUUUCUCCCGUAACCCCUGCCAAAGUUUUUUGUUGCAUGACCACACUUACAGCCCUACUUGCAACCGUGGUUGUACUUUCCGUUCUUUUGGCAGG